UUGGAUUCGCGCGUAACAGGAGAUAUAAUAGAUUUAUACAAAAUUCAAUUUCUAAGAUUUACGCGCUUAUGAGUUUUUUCAUCAGUCACUAUUAAGUCAAGCAUCAUUUAUGCCGGGAAGAAUCUUCCUCCGCCAUUGCACCGAGGAGAAGAUAUAUUGCCAGUAUCUAUAAUGCAACCUUGAAUGAAUAACAUAACCUUUAUUGAAUGCUCAACGAGCAUCAAGAUUGGAUUUACGACAAGCUUAAGAUUCAACAUCAGUUUCAGUGGAAGAUAUAAUGUAUAUGGUUAAAUGACGACUUAAUCUCACUUAAAGAUUACUUGGAAGAGAAAAUAACGUUGUAACAAUCAAUCAUUCGUAUCCUAUUUAUUCUGAUUUUAUUGAAAGUUUAAUAAUAUAUAAUGCAAUGGGUAUGAUACAAUGGAAAAAUUUUUUGGAU